rnacentral:rRNA from 1 species
UGGGGAAUUUUGGACAAUGGGCGAAAGCCUGAUCCAGCAAUGCCGCGUGUGUGAAGAAGGCCUUCGGGUUGUAAAGCACUUUUGUCCGGAAAGAAAUGGCUCUGGUUAAUACCUGGGGUCGAUGACGGUACCGGAAGAAUCAGGACCGGCUAACUACGUGCCAGCAGCCGCGGUAAUACGUAGGGUCCAAGCGUUAAUCGGAAUUACUGGGCGUAAAGCGUGCGCAGGCGGUUGUGCAAGACCGAUGUGAAAUCCCCGAGCUUAACUUGGGAAUUGCAUUGGUAACUGCACGGCUAGAGUGUGUCAGAGGGGGGUAGAAUUCCACGUGUAGCAGUGAAAUGCGUAGAGAUGUGGAGGAAUACCGAUGGCGAAGGCAGCCCCCUGGGAUAACACUGACGCUCAUGCACGAAAGCGUGGGGAGCAAACAGG